AUUGAACGCUGGCGGCAGGCUUAACACAUGCAAGUCGAGCGGGGUGAUGGUGCUUGCACUAUCACUUAGCGGCGGACGGGUGAGUAAUGCUUAGGAAUCUGCCUAUUAGUGGGGGACAACAUCUCGAAAGGGAUGCUAAUACCGCAUACGUCCUACGGGAGAAAGCAGGGGAUCACUCGUGACCUUGCGCUAAUAGAUGAGCCUAAGUCGGAUUAGCUAGUUGGUGGGGUAAAGGCCUACCAAGGCGACGAUCUGUAGCGGGUCUGAGAGGAUGAUCCGCCACACUGGGACUGAGACACGGCCCAGACUCCUACGGGAGGCAGCAGUGGGGAAUAUUGGACAAUGGGGGGAACCCUGAUCCAGCCAUGCCGCGUGUGUGAAGAAGGCCUUAUGGUUGUAAAGCACCUUAAGCGAGGAGGAGGCUCUUUUGGUUAAUACCCAAGAUGAGUGGACGUUACUCGCAGAAUAAGCACCGGCUAACUCUGUGCCAGCCGCCGCAGUAACAC
rnacentral:rRNA from 1 species